AUGUGGGAAUCGAAGUCUUACUCUGACCAAAAAAUCCUUCACACCCACCUGCUUUACAAGGGUUUCAUGCCACACUAUAAUGUUUGGACGAGGCACGGAGAAAUAGGGGUUAAGAUGGAAGACGGCGAAGAAGAAGAGGACGAUGACAACAAUGUGCCCCCUGAAUACGGUGAUGCUGCAACGGGGGAAGCUGCUGAAGAUCAAGAGGAACCAGACGAUGUGCCCAAUGAUGCUGCAAUGGGGGAAGCUGCUGAAGAUCAAGAGGAACCAGUGCCCGAUGAUGAUGAUCUCCGCCGGGUCAUUGUCAAUGCAAGGACGCAAUGUGAAAGUCAAAAGGAGAAGCUAAAGUUCGAUCGCAUGUUAGAGGAUCACAAAAAAGGGUUGUACCCCAAUUGCGAAGAUGGCAACACAAAGCUCGGUACCGUACUGGAAUUGCUGCAGUGGAAGGCAGAGAAUGCUGUGCCUGACAAAGGAUUUGAGAAGCUACUGAAAAUAUUGAAGAAGAAGCUUCCAAAGGAUAACGAAUUGCCCGACAGUACAUACGCAGCAAAGAAGGUCGUAUGCCCUCUAGGAUUGGAGGUGCAGAAGAUACAUGCAUGCCCUAAUGACUGCAUCCUCUACCGCGGUGCGUACAAGGAUCUGAACGCAUGCCCGGUAUGCGGUGCAUUGCGGUAUAAGAUCAGACGAGAUGACCCUCGUGAUCUUCACGGCGAGCCCCCCAGGAAGAGGGUUCCUGCGAAGGUGAUGUGGUAUGCUCCUAUAAUACCACGGUUGAAACGUCUGUUUAGAAACGAACAGCAUGCCAAGUUGAUGCGAUGGCACAGUGAGGACCGUAAGAAAGACGGGAAGUUGAGAGCACCCGCUGACGGGUCGCAGUGGAGAAAAAUCGAGAGAAAGUACUGGACUGAGUUUGCAGGUGACCCAAGGAAUGUAUGGUUUGGUUUAAGCGUGGAUGGCAGUAAUCCUUUCGGGGAGCAGAGCAGCAAUCACAGCACCUGGCCCGUGACUCUAUGUAUGUAUAAGCUUCCUCCUUGGAUGUGCAUGAAGCGGAAGUUCAUUAUGAUGCCAGUUCUCAUCCAAGGCCCUAAGCAACCCGGCAACGACAUUGAUAUGUACCUAAGGCCAUUAGUUGAAGAACUUUUACAGCCGUGGAAUGGAAAUGGUGUACAUACGUGGGAUGAGCACAAGCAGGAGGAAUUUAACCUGCACGCGUUGCUGUUUGUAACCAUCAACGAUUGGCCCACUCUCAGUAACCUUUCAGGACAGACAAACAAGGGAUACCACGCAUGCACGCACUGUUUAGAUGACACUGAAAGUAAAUACCUGGACAAAUGCAGGAAGAUCGUGUACCUGGGCCAUCGUCGAUUUCUUCCGACCAACCAUCAAUGUCGAAAGAAAGGCAAGCAUUUCAAAGGCGAGGCAGAUCACCGGAAGAAGCCCGCCAUGCGUACCGGUGAUCACGUACUUGCUAUGGUCAAUCAUUUACACGUAAUCUUUGGAAAGGGUCCCGGCGGACUAGCUGUUCCGAAUGACGCUGAGGGACACGCACCCAUGUGGAAGAAGAAAUCUAUAUUUUGGGACCUACCCUACUGGAAAGACCUAGAGGUCCGCUCUUCAAUCGACGUGAUGCACGUGACGAAGAACCUUUGCGUGAACCUGCUAGGCUUCUUGGGCGUGUAUGGGAAGACAAAAGAUACACCUGAGGCACGGGAGGACCUGCAACGUUUGCACGAAAAAGACGGCAUGCCUCCGAAGCAGUAUGAAGGUCCUGCAAGCUACGCUCUUACGAAAGAAGAGAAAGAAAUCUUCUUUGAAUGCCUUCUUAGUAUGAAGGUCCCGACUGGCUUCUCGUCGAAUAUAAAGGGAAUAAUAAAUAUGCCAGAGAAAAAGUUCCAGAACCUAAAGUCUCAUGACUGCCACGUGAUUAUGACGCAACUGCUUCCGGUUGCAUUGAGGGGGCUUCUACCGGAAAAUGUCCGAUUAGCCAUUGUGAAGCUAUGUCCAUUCCUCAAUGUAAUCUCUCAGAAGGUGAUCGAUCCAGAAAUCAUACCAAGGCUAAGGAGUGAUGUGGCGCAAUGUCUUGUCAGUUUCAAGCUGGUGUUCUCACCAUCCUUCUACAAUAUCAUGACGCACGUCCUAGUUCAUCUAGUCGACGAGAUUGUCAUUCUGGGGCCCGUAUUUCUACACAAUAUGUUCCCCUUUGAGAGGUUCAUGGGAGUCCUAAAGAAAUAUCUCCGUAACCGCGCUAGGCCAGAAGGAAGCAUCUCCAUGGGCCAUCAAACAGAGGAUGUCAUUGGGUUUUGUGUUGACUUCAUUCCUGGCCUUACGAAGAUAGGUCUCCCUAAAUCGCGGUAUGAGGGGAGACUGACUGGAAAAGGCACGCUAGGAGCGGACUCAAUAAUGCAGGGAUGGGCAUUCUUGGUCUCAAGCACACUACACAGUUCUACAGAACUCUACCUUGGUGACCCCGUAUGUCGAUGA
rnacentral:rRNA from 1 species